UACGUAGGGGGCAAGCGUUGUCCGGAUUUAUUGGGCGUAAAGAGCGUGUAGGCGGUUUGGUAGGUCCGCUGUGAAAACUCGAGGCUCAACCUCGAGACGCCGGUGGAAACCAUCAGACUAGAGUCCGGAAGAGGAGAGUGGAAUUCCUGGUGUAGCGGUGAAAUGCGUAGAUAUCUGGAGGAAUACCGGUGGCGAAGGCGGCAUCCUGGACCAUUACUGACGCUGAGGCGCGAAAGCUAGGGGAGCAAACGGG
rnacentral:rRNA from 1 species